rnacentral:rRNA from 1 species
AGACGGAGGGGGCUAGCGUUGUUCGGAAUUACUGGGCGUAAAGCGCGCGUAGGCGGUCCGUUUAGUUAGGCGUGAAAGGCCUGGGCUCAACCCGGGAACUGCGCUUAAAACUGGCGGGCUAGAGUCCGAGAGAGGGUGGCGGAAUUCCCAGUGUAGAGGUGAAAUUCGUAGAUAUUGGGAAGAACACCAGUGGCGAAGGCGGCCACCUGGCCCGGUACUGACGCUGAGGUGCGAAAGCGUGGGGAGCAAACAGGAUUAGAUACCCCAGUAGUCC